UGUAUGUGUAGCAGGAUGGGCCUUUAAUUAGUGCUGCAGUACCGGCCUAUCACUGUUGGGUGCGCUGCCUAUAAAGGUGAGUGGUUGUGCACUGGGAGCCCUCUUGCCUGGGAGCUCCUGGCUGCCCCGCCUCCUGUUAUCACCGCACCUGAUCGCCUCACCUGAUUGCCUUUUAGCUGGAUCGUGCAGCUCGCCGUUCUUUGGCAGUUCAUUGGCCGGGUCUUCCCUCUCCCGUAUCGACCCCAGUUGUAGGGCGUGCGAGUGUUUUCCUCCUCUACCUGUUGCAGCGGGGAGCGAUCAGCCCAUUGAUCGAGUUGCACUUGUAAUUGUGAUGCUCGGUACAAGUGAUCCCCUUCCUCCCCUUUGAUGUUCAUUCAACUCCUGACGGGUUGACGUGUGUGUGGGCGGUUUCUGCCAGCACAUUCCCCCCCCUCUUCACGCUGCUGUUGGCCGGCUGCUGUUUUGUCCACUGCUUUAUAUAGCCAACACAUCCAUCCUACUCUGCAUCUCCUACUGUGCUGUACCUGCCACCGAGUAUGGUGAUUGCUGCCUCAUCCUCAGUCUCAUUAUCUUAAUCUAUUCAUUUAACCGACUUCUAACUGAUCUUAUUGAUGAUAUUAUUUGUGUUUUGUGGGUUGCUUUGCAUGUUUGUUUUGGUUUAAUUUGUUUUCUUAGUUAUUUUGGUUUGGCUUAAUUGCUUUACUUAUUCAUCUGGAUUUAUAAGUUUGGAUAAAUCUCCAUUGUUUUGAUUUAAUUUAUUUGUUAGUUUUCUUUUGGUUUGCAUUUAUUGGGGUUGUUUAAGUUGUGGGUUGAAGCGAUUUAACCCUGAUUUAAACCCCAUUUAGUUAUUUGCCCUCUCCUUUUUGUGUAUUUUGUGUGUGUGUGUGUGUUCGCUUUAGUGUGGUUGUGUGAACAUAUUUUAUUGAGAAGUCAUGUUUAAAGAUUAUAUAUAUUAAUUAAAAGGAAUUGAGUUAGUAUGCUGGACCCAGUCUCAAGCUUUCAUUAGUAAACAAACUUGUGUGCUUUAACUUAGGUUAAUCUAACUC
ensembl:lncRNA